rnacentral:tRNA from 2 species
AAAGUAGUAAGUUAAUUAGACUUGAGUACUUCAAAUACUCCUGUGAGGGGUGUUUUCCUCCUGCUUUG